rnacentral:rRNA from 1 species
GAAGGGGGCGAGCGUUGUUCGGAUUUACUGGGCGUAAAGGGCGCGCAGGCGGCUAUCUUUGUCAGGCGUGAAAGCCCCGGGCUUAACCUGGGAAUGGCGCUUGGGACGGGGUGGCUAGAGAUCGGGAGAGGAGAGUGGAAUUCCCAGUGUAGAGGUGAAAUUCGUAGAUAUUGGGAAGAACACCGGUGGCGAAGGCGGCUCUCUGGACCGAUACUGACGCUGAGGCGCGAAAGCGUGGGGAGCAAACAGGAUUAGAUACCCUGGUAGUCCACGCUGUAAACGAUGUGUGCUAGACGUUGGGGAGCCUAGCUCUUCGGUGUCGCAGCUAACGCUUUAAGCACACCGCCUGGGGAGUACGGCCGCAAGGUUA